UCGAGGAUCUUCGGCAAUGGGCGCAAGCCUGACCGAGCGACGCCGCGUGUGCGAUGAAGGCCUUCGGGUUGUAAAGCACUGUCGAGGGGGAGAAAAGCCGCAAGGCCUGAUCGACCCCUGGAGGAAGCACGGGCUAAGUUCGUGCCAGCAGCCGCGGUAAGACGAACCGUGCGAACGUUGUUCGGAAUCACUGGGCUUAAAGGGCGCGUAGGCGGGCCGGCGAGUCGGAGGUGAAAUCCCACAGCUUAACUGUGGAAGUGCCCCCGAUACUGCCGGCCUUGAGGGGGAUAGGGGCGUGCGGAACUUCCGGUGGAGCGGUGAAAUGCGUAGAUAUCGGAAGGAACACCGGUAGCGAAAGCGGCGCGCUGGAUCCCUUCUGACGCUGAGGCGCGAAAGCCAGGGGAGCAAACGG
rnacentral:rRNA from 1 species